GACAUUCAACUGCAAUUUUCUCAUUUGGAGCACUGAGAGAACAAAUAAUGGCUGCAGUGUGAAUGCUCUGGACCAUGAGGGCUGGAACAGAAAUCCUGUCAGUUUCAAGUCAUAGAACAAUGC